ACUCCUACGGGAGGCAGCAGUGGGGAAUAUUGCACAAUGGGCGCAAGCCUGAUGCAGCCAUGCCGCGUGUAUGAAGAAGGCCUUCGGGUUGUAAAGUACUUUCAGCAGUGAGGAAGGUGGGUAUGUUAAUAGCAUAUUCAUUUGACGUUAGCUGCAGAAGAAGCACCGGCUAACUCCGUGCCAGCAGCCGCGGUAAUACGGAGGGUGCGAGCGUUAAUCGGAAUUACUGGGCGUAAAGCGCAUGCAGGUGGUUUGUUAAGUCAGAUGUGAAAGCCCGGGGCUCAACCUCGGAAUUGCAUUUGAAACUGGCAAACUAGAGUACUGUAGAGGGGGGUAGAAUUUCAGGUGUAGCGGUGAAAUGCGUAGAGAUCUGAAGGAAUACCGGUGGCGAAGGCGGCCCCCUGGACAGAUACUGACACUCAGAUGCGAAAGCGUGGGGAGCAAACAGGAUUAGAUACCCUGGUAGGCUCU
rnacentral:rRNA from 1 species